rnacentral:tRNA from 1 species
GCCUUUGUGGUGCAGUGGUCAGUACGCUCGAUGCAUAUUCGAGAGGUCCGUGGUUCGAAUCCCCGCGAGGUUA